UAUUGCACUUGUCCCGGCCUGA
rnacentral:ncRNA from 3 species